CGCACAUUGCGCUCUCCGGUAUUCCGGGGAGCAUGUCUGUUCGAGCGUCUUUUAAACACUCUCAAGCUCUGCUUGGCAUUGAGGAGCGUCCAUAAACCGACGCCCUCCAAAUUCGUUGGCGGCCCUGCUGAGCCCCAAGCGCAAUGAAACAUCUCGCUUGUAGUGGAUUUCAGUGGGUGCUUGCCCCCAACGACCUUUUAAUUUAUUCCAGACCUCGGAUCAGACAAGGGUACCCGCUGAACUUAA
rnacentral:misc_RNA from 1 species